UACGUAGGGUGCGAGCGUUAAUCGGAAUUACUGGGCGUAAAGCGUGCGCAGGCGGUUCGUUGUGUCGGUGGUGAAAGCCCCGGGCUUAACCUGGGAAUGGCCAUGGAAACUGGCGAACUGGAGUGUGGCAGAGGGGGGUGGAAUUCCGCGUGUAGCAGUGAAAUGCGUAGAGAUGCGGAGGAACACCGAUGGCGAAGGCAGCCCCCUGGGCUAGCACUGACGCUCAGGCACGAAAGCGUGGGGAGCAGACAGG
rnacentral:rRNA from 1 species